GGUAUGGGAUGAGCUUGCGUCCGAUUAGCUAGUUGGCGGGGCAACGGCCCACCAAGGCGACGAUCGGUAGCCGGCCCGAGAGGGUGAUCGGCCACAUUGGGACUGAGAUACGGCCCAGACUCCUACGGGAGGCAGUAGUAGGGAAUAUUGCACAAUGGGGGAAACCCUGAUGCAGCAACGCCACGUGUGGGAAGAAGCAUUUCGGUGUGUAAACCACUGUCGUGAGGGAAUAAUACGCGUCUUCGGGCGCGGGAGAAUGUACCUUGAAAGGAAGCACCGGCAAACUUCGUGCCAGCAGCCGCGGUAAUACGAGGGGUGCAAGCGUUGUUCGGAAUCACUGGGCGUAAAGGGAGCGUAGGCGGAUGUUCAAGCGGAUUGUACAAUACCGGGGCCCAACCCCGGACCUGCAGUUCGAACUGGACAUCUUGGAUAGUUCAGGGGCAGGC
rnacentral:rRNA from 1 species